UACAGAGGGGGCAAGCGUUGUUCGGAAUUACUGGGCGUAAAGGGCGCGUAGGCGGCCUUCUAAGUCGAACGUGAAAUCCCUGGGCUCAACCGGGGAACUGCGUCUGAUACUGGAUGGCUUGAGUUUGGGAGAGGGAUGCGGAAUUCCAGGUGUAGCGGUGAAAUGGGUAGAUAUCAGGAGGAACACCCAUGGCGAAGGCAGCUCACUGGCCAUUAUCUGACGCUGAGGCGCGAAAGCGUGGGUAGCAAACAGG
rnacentral:rRNA from 1 species